rfam:Nicotiana attenuata strain TT chromosome 8, whole genome shotgun sequence.
UGGACAGAUUAUUGUAUUCGUCUGUAUUCGACGUCAAAAUAGGGGAUUACACUGUUUUUAAAACGGAAAGUGAAUCAAUUAACAUAAUAGACUCCU